AGCGGUAAGGUAGCAAUAUCUGAGAGCGGCGGACUGGUGCGUAACACGUAGAUCAUCUGCCCUGAAGACUGGGAUAGCCGGUGGAAACACCGAUUAAUACCGGAUAUUGAGGAAACUUGAAAGCUGCGUCUGCAGCACUUCGGGAUGAGUCUGCGUCCUAUUAGCUAGUUGGCGGGGUAAUAGCCCACCAAGGCAACGAUAGGUAGCCGGCCUGAGAGGGUGUACGGCCACAUUGGGACUGAGAUACGGCCCAGACUCCUACGGGAGGCAGCAGCUAAGAAUAUUCCGCAAUGGGCGAAAGCCUGACGGAGCAAUCUCGCGUGAGUGAUGAAGGCUUUCGGGUUGUAAAGCUCUUUUGACCGGGAAGAAUAAGUCGACCAGGGAAUGGGUUGGCGAUGACGGUACCGGUCGAAUAAGGACCGACUAAUUACGUGCCAGCAGUCGCGGUAAUACGUAGGGUCCAAACGUUGCUCGGAAUCAUUGGGCGUAAAGGGUACGCAGGCGGUUGGGUAAGUCUGUGGUGAAAUUUCGAGGCUCAACCUCGAAACUGCCAUGGAUACUGCCCGGCUAGAGUUGUAAUAUGGGUGGCAAGAAUUCCUGGUGUAGGAGUGAAAUCUGUAGAUAUCAGGAGGAAUACCAAUAGCGAAGGCAAGCCGCUGGGUAACGACUGACGCUCAGGUACGAGAGCUAGGGGAGCAAAUGGGAUUAGAGACCCCAGUAGUCCUAGCUGUAAACUAUGUUCACUAGUGUUGCGGGUAUUUAUUUAUCUGCAUCACAAAGCUAACGCGUUAAGUGA
rnacentral:rRNA from 1 species